rnacentral:lncRNA from 1 species
UCUAAUGGCUUCAUUAUGAGCAUGGGAAACCACACGAGAAUAUUUUGGAUCACCUCCAAAAGUUCAAUCUCGUGAAUUAUGGCCCGUCUAUUGAGAGCGAAAAUAACUUGACCCCAAAAAAAAAAAAAAAAGUGAAAUGUGAAAAAAAAAAAUGAAAGAAUGUGAAAAAGGAUGAGAUAUGAUUAUAAAGGAAAUUGCAUUAGGAAAUUCACCCUUAGCGAAGAACUGGGUCUGAUCGGAUUGAGUUGUAUCAUCUUGUUGUUGCAUUUUAAACCUUAACUUUG